rnacentral:rRNA from 1 species
GACGAACGCUGGCGGCGUGCUUAACACAUGCAAGUCGAACGGAAAGGCCCUGCUUUUGUGGGGUGCUCGAGUGGCGAACGGGUGAGUAACACGUGAGUAACCUGCCCUUGACUUUGGGAUAACUUCAGGAAACUGGGGCUAAUACCGGAUAGGAGCUCCUGCUGCAUGGUGGGGGUUGGAAAGUUUCGGCGGUUGGGGAUGGACUCGCGGCUUAUCAGCUUGUUGGUGGGGUAGUGGCUUACCAAGGCUUUGACGGGUAGCCGGCCUGAGAGGGUGACCGGCCACAUUGGGACUGAGAUACGGCCCAGACUCCUACGGGAGGCAGCAGUGGGGAAUAUUGCACAAUGGGCGGAAGCCUGAUGUAGCAACGCCGCGUGCGGGAUGACGGCCUUCGGGUUGUAAACCGCUUUCGCCUGUGAAGAAGCGAGAGUGACGGUAAUGGGUAAAGAAGCACCGGCUAACUACGUG